UGUUGUAAGCAACUCACUCAAGACUGAUUUAAAGAAAGGGCUUAAAAUAGAUAAUAGUGGAUGAGAAAGGCAUUUUUGCUAUAAAAGAAAAGCAAUUGUUAUCAAUUGAAGUUGGGAAUGCCCCCAAGUGCCAUAAACACCCCCAAAAGGAGGAGGGAACCACUUGAGAAGUUGCUCAAAAGAUUGGGUGAAAACGGUGCCAUAAGAAUAGAGAGUUCUUGCAAGUGGCUAGAAUCAAAUUGCUCGAGAGGGAGUAAACGAGGAAUAGAAGCACAAAGGCCAAAGGGAAUCUUAACCCCGAAGCAGUAUUAGCACACUGGCGGCUUGAGAAAAGUAGGAUGAAAAAGUGUCAAUAAGAAACCAGCCAAAAGUAACAAUACUGUGUUCCCAAAAUAAAGAAGAUAUCACUGAAGGAGUGUUAAAAAGUGGAUUUGCAAACCCUAUCCAGCAAAGGUGCAUCAUAUCAAGCAGCUCAAAGGGACAAAUUUGUCCCAGCAAAGGAUUGAUAAAAGUUCCAUUAAAAUGGAUCUUCUUGGCCCAAGCCUGGAGUGGAGUGCAGCACAAAGAGGGUCCAUAGGCAGUGGUCAGUAAACAAGUCCAAGUUAACUAAAAUUCAUUAGAAACAUAAACUGUGGACUAAAUAGGGGGAAAUUGAAGGCUCAAGAUUUAAUAUCAAAUUCGAUUCGAUUCUCCCGCUCCAAAUUUAAAAAAAAAUAACUAAUAAUGUAAAGAGUGUAUCAGAAACCUAAGUCAUGCAUUGACACAAUCAAUGCAUAGUACUUGUAUGAUGCUAUGCUAUGCUCAAUUAUAAAAAUAGUACAAUUUAAUGGCGUACUAUUUUGGAAAUUAUUUGGCAUCCACCUUCCACUAAAUUGACUUAAAAUCUACAUGAAUGGUUAGUAGACCAUGUCUUCAUUUGUAGGCCCAUAAGUUUUAUAGCAGAUGUUCAUUGAGAAUGAAGAGUGCUUUGCUAUUCCUUCCGA